AUGAUAAGAGGGAUUUUUGAGCGGGACCAAGAAAAAGGCGAAUGGCGGUCGUAGAAAAGAAACGUUCCCACGGACAUAAUAAUUAACGUUGUGAUUCGAGACUUAUUUAAGUCAGUGGGGCUAGGUAGCGAAAAUAACGCGAUUUUGGUUACCUACCUAUACUACGUGCAAUUAUUCCGGUACAAACCUAAUUAGGCAAUAACUUAAUCUACAUUUCAAUGGUUGUCUAAAAUUCUUUCAAGAGCCGUUUGUCACCUUAAGGCUCUUACCCCUAAGUACUGGAAAUUGGAAAAAAUAUAUAGUAGCCGCCCCUGACGUCACGUGGGACGCAAAUUUAUUACCUGCACAAGUAACUGCGGAAUACCAAGCGCUGUUCCUGAUGAUAAGAUUUUAAUUCUAUGGUGAUAAGCCGCCAUCCCACCGUCCACCUGUAUGUACGUGCUUUGAUACCUUCACACAAUGCUCUGAGGUUUGAGAUAACAAAAUUUGAAAGGAGAUGUCAAGUUUAUUUGUUUAAAUUAAGCAUAUUUGUCUAUUAUUAAUUGUCCAUCCUAGAAUUAAUUGAUAAUGUUGUGCUGUCCUUAAAUUGUCAAUUGUUAUUUAGAGUUAUCAGUCCAAUAUUGAAGUCCGUUGAAUGAUCAUUCAUCUGAAACACAAAAAUUACGUUAUCGAUAUCAUCGUCAAGUUAUACUUACCUACCGAGUCAAUUACCUGUUUAAAUAAAUUAAUAAUAGGAUCGAUUUUUGCAUUACGUUAUGAGCUUGUCCGAUUUCCUGUCAUUGGGCAAGUUGGUUUAAGACAGGUUGGCGCCCCCUUCAAACAACACUCAGUACAAGAUCCACGACUCAGCUCCCAAAUCUUUGAGCACUGUUAACACCCAUUAUAGCCAA